ACGUUAAACCCCAGGGAGUGGGGCUUUGUUCUGUGUUUCGGGUUGCCGUUAAACCCUAGAAAGUUGUUUUGUUCUCCUCUCACAGACAUUUGAACAUGUAAUUUACGGAGAGCUAGUUACCUGUGUUAAUAAUAACUUUUCAA